CUUUAGCUCUGCAGAGAGAAGAGCUAGCUACUCAGAGGAAGUGGUGAAGGGGACAAUAUGGCUGUCACUCUUCAGUCCAGGUUUGUGAUUUUUUUCAGUAGCUCUUCACUGAGGAUUCUGACAAAGGACAACUAACUCUGAAGUGACUGACUGAAGCCCAGCCCAGCCAAGGUCCAUUUUCAGUAGAGGUGAGAGAGCUCGGAAAAAUCUCACCUUUUGUCUUGCCGUGGAAACUGACUUCCAGAUUGAUGAUUUCAAGUCUCAAUGACAGGAAAGCCAUCAAAAAUAAAGAGCACCAUGAUAUCCCAACCGCUUCCACUAUCUGGAAUUCACUGGACAGAUAAGCUGGAAAUGCAAUAAUGGGAACUGCAAUAUCUAAUUGACUUUUAAUGAAUAAAAAUGUAAUUUAGGAAAGAGAGUAGGCAGUAUUAAGAAUAAUGACUACUAGGACUUCAAAGAACUACUGCAUCUUUUAACUUUAAAGGAAAUUAACAGCUUGAAACAAGAAAUGGAAAAUGAGAGUUUAGUGCUUGUUAUGGUUUAAUGAUGUUUGGCAGUUCUUCCACUGUUGGAAGAAUGAUAAUUUUUAAAGCUUUGUGGUAGUCUGAAAUGUGAAUAUUAAUUGUAGGAUUAAUUUCUGUGAAGGUUCAGUUAUUUUGAACUGUUUUACGUGCCAGUGACUUAUGAUUUCAUAUGAAUUCUUGGGUGACUCAAAAAGGCAAAACUCACAUUUCUUGGAAUGAGUCCACUUGGGAAUAUGUCUAGACUAGGUAUAUGGGUUGUGUUUAAAACUGACUUUAUUGCAACAUCCUAAUGGACCCAUUUUCAAACAUAAACACAACCUAUGUUUUAAACUAGGCAGGACUGUGUGUGUGUGUGAAGGAAGGAUGAAAGGGAAAGGAAAGUGAAUGUUUGUUUCUGAUCUUCAGGAUAAGAGAAGAAAAGGUUCUAAAGACAAACUGAGUUCAGGGUGCUCAGUGCCUCGGUAGUGUGUGCCUCCAGUAGGUGUUUAUGCAUUAUUGUGAAAGUAGAAGAGGCUUUCCCCCAUUCACUCUAGUAGUCAAGCAGCGCAUUUUACAUUGUGAAGAGCUACUUUUCCUUAUGAACCCAAUGAACAUGACACUCCCUCUCUAGAUCAGUUAUUCUUGCUCUUCCUUUUCUGAGAGCAGGAGGAAGCCUCAAUUUUUGCUCUCAGUAACACCAGUUUUCAGAGUAGCAGCCGUGUUAGUCUGUAUUCGCAAAAAGAAAAGGAGUACUUGUGGCACCUUAGAGACUAACAAAUUUAUUUGAGCAUAAGCUUUCGUGAGCUACAGCUCACUUCAUCGGAUAGCUGUCUGCACUCUUUGUAGGAAGUAAGACACAGAGGAACUAUUGCAACUAUCAUCUAUUAUUUGUGUUACAAUAACAGCUAAAAGCCUUAAUCAAGACUGGUGCCCCACUGUGCUGUAUAUACCAGAACACACAGAAAGAGACAGUUCCUGCCUCAAAGAACUUGCCAUCUUAGUGCUUGGGUCCAGCAGACAUUUAAUUGCUCAAUUGCAAGCUUUAUAAAGUAUCAGAGUCUGAUUUGGACUGGUAUAGGGCCAGACUUGUGCUAGAGGAAGAGACAAUACUAGCUGAGAGACAACAUUGUGAUUUAAUUUAAGGAAACUCUAGCUGUGAGUAGCACUUACAAUGUAAUUUAGUUAACUCAGGUUGCAGGACCCCCCUUUUUUUUCCCCCUUUCAUUUAUUUUCACCCAAAACCAACUUGCCAUUAGUUUAAAUUUACCCAAUGCAGACAAUAAACAAAAUCUUUUUAUGGUGUGAUCCUCUUCACUAUGUGCAGUUUUAUCCAUUCUUAUUUCAUUUUCUUGCUGUGACCACUGAAGUUAACUGGGAUUUCAGCAUGAAUAAAAAAUAUCAUUAAUUUCUCCCUGCUGCCUCUUAAAAUUUGCUGGAAAGAUGUUUUCACCCCCAACCCUAUGUGGCAUACUCAGAUUAAAUAAUAUGGGUUUUUUAUAUACACUGGAGAGCCAUUUUUAUGAUUUCACUUAAGAAAAAUGGUCAGAAGCCAUCUUCUGACCAUUUCUUUUCUCUGUUUAAUUUCUAAGAGAAUUUAAUGCUCAUGAAAGAUGUCAGAUUAACAGCAUUACAAAUUGAAGUCCUCCACCCACAGAAUAGUACAAUAUGGGCAGCAUGCAAGUGUCCCACGCCCUACACUCACCAUCUCACCAAUAUGUCUCAACUAGAGCUAGAUGAAUUAUUUCCAAAGAAUGAUUUAUCUGACAAAUUUCACCUCUUUCUCUGGUCACAAACUGCCCAAGCUGAUCAUGAGUUAUCUUGAAUUCUAAAUUAUAUUUUGAAUGUAUUGGAAAUUAUCCACUGAAUGAUUUCUGGGGAUAACUCUGGAGAUUAUGAUCUGUUCAUUGGGAGUAUUUGAUAGUUGAGACUUACUGAUUAGACACAAGUCUAAUAAAUCAAAAGUUAUGAACCCAAACAUUUGCAAGUAUUGCAAUUCACAGUUAAGGUACAAAAACAUACCUUAACUCUGCCCCUACAGCCAUGCUCUCAGAAAAUCCAAAACUCAGACCGCUUUAUCCACAACUUUUCAUUUUAUCAGUCAUGGCAAAAUGAGACUGCUUUUAUUCUUAAAGUUCAAUUACAAAGCUUUUUUUUUAUUUAUAGCUGAUGAGACUUGCAGGCUGUGAAGACCAGAUUCUCAAACUGAGAGCUGUUACAGACCUGUAUUCUCUGUGGGCUGGGCACAGAGGAGGAUACCUAAUGCACACUGACCAGUGGGUUACACUAACAUAUAUGGCACUAGUUAGAGAAAUUCAGAAAGCUUUAGUCCCCUUUAAUCGUGCAAUCUUCAUUCAUAUUCCAAGAAAAACCCCACCUUACUCAUUUCUGAUUAGGAAAUAGGAUACUGAAGGAAAAUCAUUCCCCACAGAAUCUCAAGCUCCUCUCUUAGGGCAGUUUUUGGCUCCUUUGUGUCUCAGAAAAGUCAACGAUGAAUUGGAUCAAGAGCUGAGGAUCUGGCCAAGUAACUCGGCUCCUGUUCACCUUGGUUACUCAGGCAUGUAUGGAUUCAUUACUCUUAUUAGUUCCAAACUUUCUCAGAACGUGCCAUAUGCAAAUAAAUUUUGACAAAAACUUUAGCAUUUGCUUUGCUUAUUUAUUUAUUUCUUUUAAAUCUGAUUGCACUUGGGGGUUUGAUUUCCCCUUUGCAUUUUCACCUUUGCAAAAUGAAUGCAAUCUUAGUAUAA